GAAUAUCUCGCUUUAUUGAAUCGUUCACAAUUCCCCUAAUUUCUCUUUAAGUCACUCUGCUUUCCAACGUAAACAAAAGAAAAAAAACCGAUAAAGCUUCUUCUCUCUCUGCAUUUACCGAAAGAACUCAAACAAUUCUCUCAUUCCUCUCUCUCUCUCUCUCUCGAUCGCUUUCUCCUCAUGACAACACAAUAACAAAACAUUCAAGCAUAUGUUUCUUUUGCGAUUUGCCAUGCUAAUAAACAACGAUAUAACAAUAUACCCUCACCCCAUACGAAAAUCUUAAGCCCCAUAUUCACUUAUCAAUCAAGAUGAUUACAAAUUUAUUGUAGCCUGCUUCUGGUACACAGGUUAAUUUGAUUUUGGAUUAAAGAGAAGCGGUGGUGGUUCCGUAGAUGGAUGAAGGUGCGUGAGUGGCCAGAGAUCGUUGCUGAACCAAGAUGGAAAACGUUCAUUCAACGAUUCAAUAUCAUUAAGAGCCGUACCGUGAAUUUUAAACAAGGUAUAAGGAAAGCAAAUGGGUUCCAAAACAAUUGAUUGGAUAUGGUGGGGAUGUCGUCUUCACAUUCAGCUACUAUUACUGUUGUUGCUACGACGGUUGGUUCUAGCUAUCAUUGUAUGAUUUUUUUUAUUCUAACCAUAAAAUUUAUAAACAUUUUGAUCUAUAUAUUUUGUUUUCGAUAUAUUUGAUUUAAUACCCAUGGAGUUUGUUAUUGAUUAGCCGGUGAUGUAUGAUGCUACUGGUGUAAGAUUGCAAGCGAGACGACAAACAGAGGUUUGAUUGCGGUUUAUGAGAUCUCUAUUUGUUUUGAUUGAUUUUAAAUUAUGAUUACCAAAUUUGAAUGACAGGGUUUUUAUAGGUUCUUAACCAAAUUGUAAUUGAACUUUCUCCUGAACAUCCUCUGGCUGAUAGCAGACCUCUUCUAGAACUUCUUGGGCAUACCCCGCCUCAGGUUUAAUAUUUUGGAUUUGAUUGCUUUCUAAUUUUUGUGAUUAUGGAAUCAAGUUUAGAAUAGUUAAUUUAAUGGACACUUGAUAGAAUUCUUCGGCAACCUAAAGUAAGUAUAGGGAUUUUGAUGUUUGUCGAGUGUUUACACUAAAUAUAUUCAAUGAGCAUUGCUACUGAUUGUGUAUAGUAGGUGACGAUUAUGUUGUGCAAAAUUUUCUUUUAUGAAUAUUUAAAUCUAUGACAAUAUGUUUUAUUUUCUUAGUAUUAUAUAUAUAUAUAUAUAUAUAUAUAUAUAUAUAUAUAUAUAUAUAUAUAUAUAUAUAUUCUUUUAGUACUAUGAGGAGAGAGAAUAGCAAACAAUCAAGCAGGUCUCUAUCAUCACCAAACAGGUUAUAAUAAAUAAUAAUAAUAAUAAUGAUUCUUUUUAUUGUUGUCUGUAAUUUCUCUACCAAUUUAAGCCACUUAAUGAGCCUUAUCUGCUUGAUAUCAAGUUCAUGUUUAACCGGUCUGAAUUUUAAAAUGCAUUGCAGAAGCUUUGGAGGGGUAUUAUCUAUGCUUAAUUUUAUUGGAGGAAAUGUUAUGCUUCAUUAUCUGUUCUUUUUUUACCUUUUAACAAUGUAUAACUGAUCUGUUAUCUAUGCUUGAUUUUAACUUUUGUCGAUUUUCUUAUUUUCUAAGUUCUUUAACAUACUUUAACUCUUUCCAUUAAUCAUGAAGUAAUGUGCACAUUCCAUAAAUAAUUCAAGUUUGUAUUAAACUGAUUGUUUAAUCUUUAAAAAAUUGUAGCCCAUUUGCAUAUCCUGAAAGCUAGGCAAAUAUGCUCGCCUCUCAAAUAGAAGUGAAAAAACUCUAAGAGUGAGAGCAGCUGCUUUUUGCAAAAAAAUGCAGUAUUAAAGCUUGCCAUUAACUCCUAUGUUUGGUUGAACUUGAAAGAUGGUCUUCUAUCCCUGCCUCAAAUUUUGGAACUGUGAACUCUCAUUCAACUUCUGGCUGGAUCGAAGAUCAUUGAAGUAGACAACAAUGUUCGAGAAUUUUAGGCCCUUUUAGAUCCAUGUUAUUGGCCCGAACGAAGAACUUUCAGAAUGACCUGGUUGGACUUCAAGGAGAAACAAUGGUGCCAAGAGAUGCUAAGCUAGAGCAAGAAGGGAUGCUUGAAGAUGUAUUUGGAAUCACAAGAAACUCAUUAAAGGACACAAAUGUUUCUUCCAUGAGAUACUGAUCCCUCACCCUCAAUUAACAUGCACAUAUUGCCUUUAAUCAAGAUGAAUGCUCAUGAUGAUGACAAUUCUUCAGCAUGUAAAACUGAUGUUACGCCUUGAACUCCUGAAAAGGCUGUUGGGAUUUCUUUUCUUCCCUAUAUAAUAUGUUGUGAAUGUUAUAUUCGUUUAUUUUUAUAGGUUGUUGUUAUGUUACAAAUGAGUGAGUGGAAUGAGUGAAAGAAUGUUUUUGUUGCCUAUUUUUAGUCGUGGAUGGUUUUCUUUCAAUUCACUGUCAAUUGUUUCAUAACGUGCUAUCCCAUUGUUGGCUUAAUAACUUAUUCAUUAUCCAUAGUAAAAAUAUAUUUCUCAUACCUUGAAAUGUGUAAGUACACUUAAAUUUAAAUAAGUUUUUAUAAUAUCUUAUAAAUACAAUUAAUAUUUUUAAUUAUGUGAUAUAAAACA